AAUUUUGUCUUUUAAUAAACUAUGUUCUUAUUUUAUUUCAUGUUUCUGUUUCCAGAUGAUCUAUUUUGCUUUUGUAAGUUCUUUUCCCCAAUUUUCUUCAGUUUCUCUUAAUUGUUUUUUAAGUUUUCAGUUCUUCCAUAUCCUGGGUCCAAUUUGCUGAAGUUUCUGAGUUUUUGCUUGGUGUUCCUUGGUCUUCCUCUGUUCCAUUUGUUCUUUGAUCAUUACCUAAAUAGAUGCUGUUGAUUAUAAUUUCUUUUUUUCUUUUUCUGUUGUUUACUCAUAUUUUUCCCUCUUUUCCCCUCUUUAUUGGUUCUGUUCUUGCUCCUCUGUUUAUUUGCUGUAUCUGUGAGUUUGGGCUUUUCUGCCCUAAAGGGGCUUCUUCACUGCUCUGCUGAUUAACUGGAUUAGGCUGAUGGAGCUGACCUGUUGUAUUAAUGUGUCCUGAGGCCAGAUCUUCCCCAGCCACUAGCAGAGGCUGAGGGAGAAAGUGAAGUUGUGGAGCCUGAAGGUAGUUACCCUUCCUCCUCCUCUCUACUCCUUCUACCUGCUACCUCCCUGCCAGCUGCCUAGACAGAGCCCUGUGCUUCCCAUGGUGGAAUCAAGAUAUUCUGUUGUAGUUGCAGCCUUCACCCUGGCAUCUCAGUCAGCUGGAUUCAGUGCAGUAGGUGGGGGAGGGGUGUUGGAUCUUUCCCUUAUACCUGAUAAUUCAACUUUAUCUGUGUAAAUUUCAUAUGGGAUUGAGUAGGAGAGACCUGUGGCUCUGUUUUGUUGAGUUUGGCUUUCUGUCUAUUUUGCAGUUGGGCUUUUCUGCCUUCUUGAGGCUUUUUUGCACUCUUAAUAAACUGGAUUAAGCCUCUGUUGAGCUGAUCUGCAAACUGCAUGUGCCAUGAGUCCAAACCUUCCAGAGGCGGAGACCAAAGAUGGAGGAGUGGUGGCUGAAGGGUGUGACUGGGAUGCACUCCUCUCUGCCUCUUUCUUCCAGAUGCCUUCUUGACAGCUGUGGUCAGAGUCCUGAGCCUGAAGUAGCUGUGGUAGCAAGGCCAGACUGGAGUCCUCAUCCCAAGAUCCCAGCAACCCCUCCAAUCUCAGCAUAACUCUUGCUACCUUGUGAAGUCAUUUGCUUCUAGUUGUUGGAUUCUAAUUUUUGAAGACUGAAUUUCAUCCCUGGCUUUUUGGUCAUCCUCCUUCUG
ensembl:lncRNA